UAGUCCACGCCGUAAACGAUGAUAACUCGAUGUGUGCGAUAUACAGUACGCGUCCAAGCGAAAGUGUUAAGUUAUCCACCUGGGAAGUACGUCCGCAAGGAUGAAACUCAAAGGAAUUGACGGGGGCCCGCACAAGCGGAGGAGCAUGUGGUUUAAUUCGAUGAUACGCGAGGAACCUUACCUGGGCUUAAAUGCAGGAUGACUUCAGUCGAAAGGCUGUUUUCUUCGGACAUUUUGCAAGGUGCUGCAUGGUUGUCGUCAGCUCGUGCCGUGAGGUGUCGGGUUAAGUCCCAUAACGAGCGCAACCCCUAUCCUCAGUUGCCAGCACGUAAUGGUGGGGACUCUGGGGGAACUGCCUACGCAAGUAGAGAGGAAGGUGGGGAUGACGUCAAAUCAGCACGGCCCUUAUGUCCAGGGGCUACACACGUGCUACAAUGGCCUGAACAGAGGGGCA
rnacentral:rRNA from 1 species